AUUUGAUUGACCAUGAAAAAUACAUGGAAAAUGUGCAUCGUCCUUAUUGGACUGGCUCUGUGCAGCAAAUCAUUGGUGUACGAGACAGUUAUGCCCGCGGAUGGAAAAGGAUGCGUUGGAUUUACAAGAGACUUGAAGGUCGGCGAAUCCGAGCAGGAUCCCAAGGUGUGUGGUAUAUUGGUGUGCAUGAACGUCGAUGGCACAGCUCUAAUCUAUUACUGUCAACAACCCGCGGGAUUUGCACAAUGUGCCAAUAACACCGUAAAUCUUGAGACCGACUAUCCGGAUUGUUGCUGGCAGUGCACUGAGGCGAUCCAAUGCCAUUGAGGUAUCUCAAAAGGAAAUGUGGCAGCUAUAAUUCCAGUUGUCUCUGUGCUCAAUGGACAGACAACUCUAUAACGUUUUUAAAUCCAUUUUCAUGCUGUUCACUGCUAUACUUAAAAUGUAACCCAAAGAAAUAAAAUUCAUUUUGAAAUAUUUUCAAUAGUCGAGUCUCAAAUGGGGCAGAGUUCAAAAUCCACAGCGAUUUGUACGGAUUUGAAUAGAUUCAUGCGUUGGCAACAUGGACAACGACUGACGAGGUUUGGCCUAUAACCCGGGACGGGACUGAUAAGUCGCUGGGGCUAAUUACAAACAAUAUAACUCGUAAGUACGAGUAUUCGUUAGCUGUUGAAUGUCAAACUGUGUCAAAUGCCACAUAAAAAUGUUGAAAAAUGAAAAUGUUGUUAUAAACAGCAAUGCAUUAAAUAAUCACUAUGAUAACCCCAAGACAUCGACUUUAUGUGAUGGUUGUUAUUGUUGUUGUUGUUGUUGCGGUGGUGCUGAUAUUUCGAAACAAACUAAAACUCAAAAUUAAAGCUGUCGCUUCAACUGAUAAUCUUGCCAAUACAAACAGAAAUCUUUAUUUUUAAUGCCCUAUUAAAAUAGAACUCUCGAACUUCUAGCGGCAAGACAACAGCAAACAAAACCACAAAAACCAAAUCGCUUAUCAGCUACAAAAGCAGCCACAACAACAACAACAUAAACAAAAACAACAGCGUUGAUAAGGCAGCUGAAAAUGUAAAACUGUUAUGACAACGUGUCAGAGUUCAACUUGGAAGUAGAUCCCUCUCUUUCGCUUAUCAAGGGGUCAGCAACGAAUUGAGCUCAUUUGGCUAUAAUAAAGUGGAACGAAGCUCUCAAAUCCGUCUGAUAAUGAGUAUUGGAAAAAAAAUCGAAUUCUAUUCAAUGACAGUGCAAAUGACUCGUUAUAUUCCAAUUGUGAGUUGAAGUAAUAUAUGUAAAAAAUAAUUAAUUAUGAAUAUAGCUAAAAUAUUUAUUAAAUUGUUGCUUGGGGAAAUACACUUGGUAU